GGAACUGGUCCCAGUUAACAGAGAACAACCCCCAAGGAACUGGUCCCAGUUAACAGAGAACAACCCCCAAGGAACUGGUCCCAGUUAACAGAGAACAACCCCCAAGGAACUGGUCCCAGUUAACAGAGAACAACCCCCAAGGAACAUACAUACCCUGGUAUCCAACAAAGCCUCAAAUUCCUCAUACUUUUCUGUUUUUAUCUCUCCCUUUCUCCUCCUCUCUCUCUCUCUCUCUUUGUAAAUUGGCAUUGUAGAUACUUGAGGAAGUAGUUUGUUAAUAUGUAUAAUUUAGCAGCAAUGCUGUUUUUUUUUUUUUUAAAUAAUGACAAAAUAUUGUGAAUGAUAUAUUUGUUGAUUUGGUUUUGAAAAUCAAACUCCUGAGGCUUUUAAAGUACAGUAAUGUAAUAUUUUCUAUGUAAGGCGGCAAAUGAUGUUCAGCAGAAAAAAAAAGCUAUGCUAGAAAAGCGAUUAAACUAUGUUGAAACUGAGGACUACUGGCUAAGUGAUGACUGGCUAAGUGAUGACUAGCUAAGUGGCUAAGUGAUGACUGGCUAAGUGAUGACUGGCUGACUGGCUAAGUGAUGACUGGCUAAGUGAUGACUGGCUAAGUGGCUAAGUGAUGACUGGCUAAGUGGCUAAGUGAUGACUGGCUAAGUGGCUAAGUGAUGACUGGCUAAGUGAUGACUGGCUAAGUGGCUAAGUGAUGACUGGCUAAGUGGCUAAGUGAUGACUGGCUAAGUGAUGACUGGCUAAGUGAUGACUGGCUAAGUGAUGACUGGCUAAGUGAUGAUCUUGUAAUUACAAAUGUAAAUAAAAUAAUGACAAAUGUUUUAUAAUUAAAUGGUAAAAUUCACCUGUUGUUGUCUAUCUUUUACUGCUGUGUUAGAAACUAAAGCUGUGUUUUUAAGUGAGAACAGGCAUUGGUCUGAAGCCGAAGAAGAUUAAAAAAAAAGGAAAUUCACAUGAGCACCACAACGCCUAUUCCACCCAUGCUAUACCAAGGUUUUACAGCACCACAACGCCUAUUCCACCCAUGCUAUACCACGGUUUUACAGCACCACAACGCCUAUUCCAC
rnacentral:lncRNA from 1 species